AGAACGAACGCUGGCGGCAGGCCUAAUACAUGCAAGUCGAACGGGCGUAGCAAUACGUCAGUGGCGGACGGGUGAGUAACACGUGGGAACAUGCCUAUCGGUUCGGAAUAACGCAGGGAAACUUGCGCUAAUACCGAAUGCGCCCGAGAGGGGAAAGAUUUAUCGCCGAUAGAUUGGCCCGCGUUGGAUUAGCUAGUUGGUGAGGUAACGGCCCACCAAGGCGACGAUCCAUAGCUGGUUUGAGAGAACGAUCAGCCACACUGGGACUGAGACACGGCCCAGACUCCUACGGGAGGCAGCAGUAGGGAAUCUUGGACAAUGGGGGAAACCCUGAUCCAGCCAUGCCGCGUGAGUGAUGAAGGCCUUCGGGUUGUAAAACUCUUUCGACGGGGACGAUAAUGACGGUACCCGUAGAAGAAGCUCCGGCUAACUUCGUGCCAGCAGCCGC
rnacentral:rRNA from 1 species